rnacentral:rRNA from 1 species
GACGAACGCUGGCGGCGUGCCUAAUACAUGCCAGUCGAACGAGAGCGACCGGUGCUUGCACUGGUCAAUCUAGUGGCGAACGGGUGAGUAACACGUGGGUAACCUGCCCAUCAGAGGGGGAUAACAUCCGGAAACGGAUGCUAAAACCGCAUAGGUCUUCGAGCCGCAUGGCUUGAAGAGGAAAAGAGGCGCAAGCUUCUGCUGAUGGAUGGACCCGCGGUGCAUUAGCUAGUUGGUGAGGUAACGGCUCACCAAGGCCGUGAUGCAUAGCCGACCUGAGAGGGUGAUCGGCCACAUUGGGACUGAGACACGGCCCAAACUCCUACGGGAGGCAGCAGUAGGGAAUCUUCCGCAAUGGACGCAAGUCUGACGGAGCAACGCCGCGUGAGUGAAGAAGGUUUUCGGAUCGUAAAACUCUGUUGUUAGAGAAGAACAAGUGCUAGAGUAACUGUUAGCGCCUUGACGUUAUCUAACCAGAAAGCCACGGCUAACUACGUG